GACGAACGCUGGCGGCGUGCUUAACACAUGCAAGUCGAACGGAAAGGCCCUGCUUUUGUGGGGUGCUCGAGUGGCGAACGGGUGAGUAACACGUGAGUAACCUGCCCUUGACUUUGGGAUAACUUCAGGAAACUGGGGCUAAUACCGGAUAGGAGCUCCUGCUGCAUGGUGGGGGUUGGAAAGUUUCGGCGGGUGGGGAUGGACUCGCGGCUUAUCAGCUUGUUGGUGGGGUAGUGGCUUACCAAGGCUUUGACGGGUAGCCGGCCUGAGAGGGUGACCGGCCACAUUGGGACUGAGAUACGGCCCAGACUCCUACGGGAGGCAGCAGUGGGGAAUAUUGCACAAUGGGAGGAAGCCUGAUGCAGCAACGCCGCGUGCGGGAUGACGGCCUUCGGGUUGUAAACCGCUUUCGCCUGUGACGAAGCGUGAGUGACGGUAAUGGGUAAAGAAGCACCGGCUAACUACGUG
rnacentral:rRNA from 1 species